rnacentral:lncRNA from 1 species
GUACUCAGUCUCUUUUGAUCUAAUGAUCAAGAGAAAGAUCAUAUAAUAGUCUAAAUUAUUGUGUUACUUGUUGAAGGGUAAUCAACUAAUAGACCUCAUUUGUUUAAUAGCACAAAUUGUAUAUAUUGGGAAAGUACGUAUGUGCAUUUCAUUCUAACAUUUAAUUAUGAUCUUUGGAGUGUCAUAAUCGAUAGUCCACAUACACCCAUAAUUAUGGUGGAUGACAUUGUCACUUCCAAAUUCGAAAA